UCCUACGGGAGGCAGCAGUGGGGAAUAUUGGACAAUGGGCGAAAGCCUGAUCCAGCCAUGCCGCGUGUGUGAAGAAGGUCUUCGGAUUGUAAAGCACUUUAAGUUGGGAGGAAGGGCAGUUACCUAAUACGUGAUUGUUUUGACGUUACCGACAGAAUAAGCACCGGCUAACUCUGUGCCAGCAGCCGCGGUAAUACAA
rnacentral:rRNA from 1 species